rnacentral:rRNA from 1 species
UACAGAGGGGGCAAGCGUUGUUCGGAAUUACUGGGCGUAAAGGGUCUGUAGGUGGCCAACUAAGUCAGACGUGAAAUCCCUCAGCUUAACUGGGGAACUGCGUCUGAUGCUGGAUGGCUCGAGUGUGGGAGAGGAAUGCGGAAUUCCAGGUGUAGCGGUGAAAAGCGUAGAUAUCUGGAGGAACACCGGUGGCGAAGGCGGCAUUCUGGACCAUAACUGACACUGAGGUGCGAAAGCGUGGGGAGCAAACAGG